UAAGGAAUAUUGGUCAAUGGACGCAAGUCUGAACCAGCCAUGCCGCGUGAAGGAUGAAGGUCCUCUGGAUUGUAAACUUCUUUUAUCUGGGACGAAAACGGGAUUUUUAUCUCAAUUGACGGUACCAGAGGAAUAAGCACCGGCUAACUCCGUGCCAGCAGCCGCGGUAAUAUGGAGGGUGCGAGCGUUAUCCGGAUUUACUGGGUUUAAAGGGUGCGUAGGUGGGCUUAUAAGUCAGUGGUGAAAUCUCCGAGCUUAACUUGGAAACUGCCGUUGAUACUAUAGGUCUUGAAUUAUCUGGAGGUAAGCGGAAUAUGUCAUGUAGCGGUGAAAUGCUUAGAUAUGACAUAGAACACCAAUUGCGAAGGCAGCUUACUACAUAUAAAUUGACGCUGAGGCACGAAAGCGUGGGGAUCAAACA
rnacentral:rRNA from 1 species